ensembl:snRNA U6 U6 spliceosomal RNA
GUGUUCACUGUGGCAGCACAUAUACUAAAAACUGGAAUGAUACAGAAAAGACUAUCAUGGCCCCUGCACAAAGGAUGCCAUGUAAAUUCCUGAAGCAUUCCAUAUAAAA